GUGAGGAAUAUUGGUCAAUGGACGAGAGUCUGAACCAGCCAAGUCGCGUGAAGGAAGAAGGUUCUAUGGAUUGUAAACUUCUUUUGUAAGGGAAUAAAAAAGAGUACGUGUACUCUAUUGUAUGUACUUUACGAAUAAGGAUCGGCUAACUCCGUGCCAGCAGCCGCGGUAAUACGGAGGAUCCGAGCGUUAUCCGGAUUUAUUGGGUUUAAAGGGUGCGUAGGCGGACUUAUAAGUCAGCGGUGAAAGUUUGCAGCUUAACUGUAAAAUUGCCGUUGAAACUGUUAGUCUUGAGUGUAAAUGAGGUAGGCUGAAUGUGUUGUGUAGCGGUGAAAUGCUUAGAUAUAACACAGAACACCAAUUGCGAAGGCAGCUUACUGGGAUACAACUGACGCUGAGGCACGAAAGCGUGGGGAUCAAACAGGAUUAGAUACCCUUGUAGUCC
rnacentral:rRNA from 1 species